rnacentral:rRNA from 1 species
ACGUAGGGGGCGAGCGUUAUUCGGAAUUACUGGGUGUAAAGGGAAUGUAGGCGCCCCUUCAAGUCGCGGGUCAAAGUCCAGUCCUAACCGCUGGGGGGGCACGCGAUACUGACGGGCUUGAGGGCUGGAGAGGUGAGCGGAAUUCCCGGUGUAGUGGUAAAAUACGUAGAGAUCGGGAGGAACACCAGCGGCGCAGGCGGCUCACUAGACAGUUUCUGACGCUAAGAUACGAAAGCGUGGGGAGCAAACAG